rnacentral:rRNA from 2 species
GAGUUUGAUCCUGGCUCAGAACGAACGCUGGCGGCAGGCUUAACACAUGCAAGUCGAGCGCACAGUUUACUGUGAGCGGCAGACGGGUGAGUAACGCGUGGGAAUCUACCUUGAGCUACGGGAUAACAGAGAGAAAUUUCUGCUAAUACCGUAUGUGGCCUUUGGGCGAAAGAUUUAUCGGCUUAAGAUGAGCCCGCGUUGGAUUAGCUGGUUGGUGGGGUAAAGGCCUACCAAGGCGACGAUCCAUAGCUGGUCUGAGAGGAUGAUCAGCCACACUGGGACUGAGACACGGCCCAGACUCCUACGGGAGGC